GGACUACUGGGGUAUCUAAUCCCGUUCGCUCCCCUGGCUUUCGCGCCUCAGCGUCAGGAGGGGUCCAGCACGCCGCUUUCGCCACCGGCGUUCCUUCCGAUAUCUACGCAUUUCACCGCUCCACCGGAAGUUCCGCAUGCCCCUACCCCCCUCGAGCCCCCCAGUAUCAGGGGCACGUGUCCGGUUGGGCCGGACGAUUUCACCCCUGACUUGAGGAGCCGCCUACGCGCCCUUUAAGCCCAGUGAAUCCGAACAACGUUCGCACGGUUCGUCUUACCGCGGCGGCUGGCAC
rnacentral:rRNA from 2 species